GGGUGUAGCCAUACCAUGCUGAUCAUACCCCACCUCAUCUGAUCUAGGAAGCCAAGAGAGGUCAGGGUGGCUAGUGUUUGGAUGGAAGACAGGGAAAGAGUGGUCCCACAUUCC
ensembl:rRNA 5S_rRNA 5S ribosomal RNA